GACGAACGCUGGCGGCGUGCCUAACACAUGCAAGUCGAGCGGAGACAGUGAGUAGCUUGCUAUGAGCUGUUUUAGCGGCGGACGGGUGAGUAACGCGUGAGCAACCUUUCCCAGACAGGGGAAUAACACACCGAAAGGUGUACUAAUACCGCAUAAGACCACGGGAUCACAUGGUUCUGAGGUAAAAGAUUUAUCGGUUUGGGGUGGGCUCGCGUCCGAUUAGGUAGUUGGUGAGGUAACGGCCCACCAAGCCGACGAUCGGUAGCCGACCUGAGAGGGUGAUCGGCCACAUUGGGACUGAGACACGGCCCAAACUCCUACGGGAGGCAGCAGUGGGGAAUAUUGGGCAAUGGAGGAAACUCUGACCCAGCAACGCCGCGUGGAGGAAGAAGGUUUUCGGAUCGUAAACUCCUGUCCUUGGAGACGAGUGGAAGACGGUAUCCAAGGAGGAAGCCCCGGCUAACUACGUGCCAGCCGCCGCGGUAAGAC
rnacentral:rRNA from 1 species